GACGUAGGGCGCGAGCGUUGUUCGGAUUCAUUGGGCGUAAAGGGCGCGUAGGCGGCGCGGGCAGUCAACGGUGAAAGCUUGGGGCUCAACCCCGAGUCGGCCGUCGAUACUCCCGUGCUUGAGCACUGUAGAGGCAGGUGGAAUUCCGGGUGUAGCGGUGGAAUGCGUAGAGAUCCGGAAGAACACCGGUGGCGAAGGCGGCCUGCUGGGCAGUAGCUGACGCUGAGGCGCGACAGCGUGGGGAGCAAACAGG
rnacentral:rRNA from 1 species